UACGUAGGGUGCAAGCGUUGUCCGGAAUUAUUGGGCGUAAAGAGCUCGUAGGCGGUCUGUCGCGUCGGCUGUGAAAACCCGGGGCUCAACCCCGGGCCUGCAGUCGAUACGGGCAGACUAGAGUGCGGUAGGGGAGACUGGAAUUCCUGGUGCAGCGGUGAAAUGCGCAGAUAUCAGGAGGAACACCGGUGGCGAAGGCGGGUCUCUGGGCCGAUACUGACGCUGAGGAGCGAAAGCGUGGGGAGCGAACAGG
rnacentral:rRNA from 1 species